rnacentral:pre_miRNA from 1 species
GCCCGGGCGGCGCCUCCAGGACUGUCCAACCUGAGAGUGUGUCCCCGCGGUCAGUCUCAGGUUCGUCAGCCCGAGAGGUGCCGCCCCUUC